AGCGAACGCUGGCGGCAGGCUUAACACAUGCAAGUCGAACGGGCACUUCGGUGCUAGUGGCAGACGGGUGAGUAACACGUGGGAACGUACCUUUCGGUUCGGAAUAAUACAGGGAAACUUGUACUAAUACCGGAUACGCCCUUCGGGGAAGAUUAUCGCCGAUAGAUCGGCCCGCGUCUGAUUAGCUAGUUGGUGAGGUAAUGGCUCACCAAGGCGACGAUCAGUAGCUGGUCUGAGAGGAUGAUCAGCCACACUGGGACUGAGACACGGCCCAGACUCCUACGGGAGGCAGCAGUGGGGAAUAUUGGACAAUGGGCGAAAGCCUGAUCCAGCCAUGCCGCGUGUGUGAUGAAGGCCUUAGGGUUGUAAAGCACUUUUGUCCGGGACGAUGAUGACGGUACCUGCAGAAUAAGCCCCGGCUAACUUCGUGCCAGCAGCCGCGGUAAU
rnacentral:rRNA from 1 species